UCAUAUUCUAAAUAGUGAAUUCCUGGAUGCAAAUACACAAGCCGUAUUAGCACUAAUGGACUUACGUAUUUGCACCAAGGAAAGAACACACAUCUAGAAACCUGUUCUCUGCUGCUCAUAGGCAAUCAUGGUGCAUUUUCUCUUGUGGACAAAAUAAAAAUGCAUUGCUAUUUAUGUGGAACCAUUCAGGUGUUACAGGCAUUUCUAUAACGUCCAAGAAUGCAUUGGCCAUGACCAACUAAAGUCGUUUUUGGCUUAUCAUCAUUCAAGCUGAAUUAAUAAUAUUAAACAGCAUGUGGGAUGAGGGAAAACACAGUGCAGAGCAACAUUAAAAUCCCUUUCCACCCAAGCAUAAUUCAUUUUGAUCUUUACUACUUGAUUCAGCUAAAGGUCAAACCAUAUAUGAUGGUUUAGAUCCAGAAAAUAUAUUAUUUCGCUGUGCAGUAUGGUCUGAAAUGAGGGCAACUAAUUUAAAAAUGGAUGCAAUUUGGAAAAUAUAAAUGUAAUGAAAAAUGCCUCCAUUAUGAAGUAUAUAAAUUAAGUUCUACUAUUGAUUACUGCCAACAUUUAAAAUCUCUCCACUCAUACUGGUAAUGCCUUUAGUGUAACUUAAUUUUCUUCCUAUUGUGUCGAUGCCUCAAUGAACAUCACUCUGGUGAGGGACCAAACACAGGUCAGAAAUGUUAGUGAUGAUAAAUUACAGACCUUAAUAACUUUUGAACAGUUUUAAAUGUACAAGUCAUCUAGGAGUCAUUUAGCUCGACAGAUGAAUGGUUAACGAACUACAUACACUAAUAAGAACCAUGUGUUAGUCUGUACCACUACAUGGCAUAAGGCCAAGAUCUAAUAAAGAAUAAAACUGGGCUUUGGAGCAUAUACAACUGGAGAAAGAAAAAAAGUGAAUUACCUUAUUAAAAGACUGUAUGAGCAAAAAUCGCUCAUGAAUUUAUACAAAUAAUUUAUGAGCACAAAGGCUUUACUAAAAGACUGGCCAGAUUCAUAACUGACAGACGGAUGAAAUGUGACCAGGUUUGGGAUAGGGAAAAAACAGGCAAUGAGUAGAUUCAGGUGUUUGCUUGGUCAUUUGGUAUUUUUGCUUUCAAUGAAAGGGGGUGUGAAAAUCUUCAUCUUUCUUGCAGACUGUUUGGACUGGGGCUUUUGUACUUUACGUGUUACUCCCAUUUUUGGCUCUUGGGUGAGUCACAAGCAACAUGGGCUGCCCUCCAACAUCCUCCUGAGGGACAUCCACAGAGCAGGUUCUGGAAGGAACCCAAAUCAGUCCAACUCCAAGAAGUCUAAAGCAGUUCUAAUAUGGAGAGACUUAAGAAUCAAGCUAAAAGAGGCACAGAUUGAACAAGUGAUAGUUUCCCCAUUACUGAAUUAAAACUGACAGGUGACAUCUUGCCUGGUGUAACAGUGAAGAAAUCUUCACUAAUCCACCCACUUCAGUCAUUUCUCAAGAGUCAUCUGCCUGCCACCAUAUCACAAUCGCCAAGGCAGCUUGUUUAAAAUCUGUACUCCUACUAAAUUACCUGCCAGGCCUCUGGUAAUAAGAUCGCCAGUCUUUUACAAGCAGCCCUGGAGAUCCUCGGGAGCCCUGAAGCUUGCAAGCUCCGGUGCUGGGAGGCAGGCCCAGGUGGUUCUUCUUUCCACCACACGUGCACGGCUCCCACGGCUCCUCUCACUUCCCACCAUCACACCUACGGUGCACACGUCAGCAAUACAAGACGCACCAGACUCUUUAAGAGCAGCAUGAAUGAACGGAUAAAUGCGCGAAUGAGAAAGUUAAUAGUAUUUCUGAAACAAAACAGGAAUUCUGAUUCCAUUAGAGUUGGCUCUACAAAUCCAUUCACAGCCUUCUAAAAAUCCCCACAGAGCUCCAAACUACUCACUCUAUAUAUUUGGCAGUAUGAUCUGAGCUUCUCAAAUACUGAUCACAGCAAACUGUGGAAAAAAGAAAGAAGAGGAAAUGAAAAGCACUGAUUCUGAGUUCUCAGAAACGUCAUGAUGCUGUGCUGCUCUCUACCCUGCAUAGCUGGCUGGCAGACACCGCCGUGGUCCCAAAGCACAUCUGCUGCGAAAGCUGUUGCUUAGCAACAGCAAUCAAUGCUGUAUUUCCUCUUCACCAUUUGCCUAAAGAUUGAGACACUGCUUCAAGGUAUUAUUUUCAAAUACCUUCUGUUUCACUGACCAAACAUGUUUGUUAAUUUUUCUAUUAUGCGAAAAGAAAUCGGGAACCAAAUCAGCAUAGGAAUUCAAGAAAAAAGAGAGAAGGUUUCUACCUUGCUAAAGAACGUUUCUGCUGAGCUUUCUAGUCUUCAUUCACUCCAAUUAAACUGCAGUGAUUCACCAGUUAUUACCACCACAGCCAUACACGUGUUGAAGAGAAGAUCAUGAUUAUAAUCUGCACAAUUACCGACGGCUAGAUAGCAUGCCUACACACGGUGUUUUGAAAAACAGCUUCAUUUCCGAUGGAGAUCAGGACAGCAAUAAAAGAGUUCCACAGUCUCUUCACUAAAUAUAUCUUUGUUUGCAUGGUCUGUGUAUACUGUCAUGGGGCAGGUGCGGGAAAAUGUAAAAUAUAAAUAUUUAAAAUCCAA